AGUCGGUAGAGCGACUUUAAAAAGGCAUUAGGCUCUACGCGUUCCAGGAGGAAACUCCUGGAGGUUGUU
rnacentral:ribozyme from 2 species